rnacentral:tRNA from 1 species
ACCGAAAUAGCUCAGCUGGGAGAGCGUUAGACUAUAAAUCAAAAGGCCGCCUGAUUCGAUCCCGGGAUUCGGCA